GCACUCUUGGUUUAGUGGUAAAAUCAGCGCUUCCCACUACCGCUUGCGCUGGCCCCGGGUUCGAUUCCCGGAGGGUGCA
rnacentral:tRNA from 2 species